CAGCCGCCACGGUAAUACGUAGGGUGCAAGCGUUAAUCGGAAUUACUGGGCGUAAAGCGUGCGCAGGCGGUUAUAUAAGACAGAUGUGAAAUCCCCGGGCUCAACCUGGGAACUGCAUUUGUGACUGUAUAGCUAGAGUACGGCAGAGGGGGAUGGAAUUCCGCGUGUAGCAGUGAAAUGCGUAGAUAUGCGGAGGAACACCGAUGGCGAAGGCAAUCCCCUGGGCCUGUACUGACGCUCAUGCACGAAAGCGUGGGGAGCAAACAUGAUUAGAUACCCCUGUAGUCCCUGUCUCUUAUAC
rnacentral:rRNA from 1 species